GACCACAUCGCGUUGAAACACCGGUUCCCAUACGAUCACCGAAGUUAAGCAACGUUUAACCUGUUGAGUACUUAGAUGAGUAACCGCUUACCAGGAGUUGU